rnacentral:lncRNA from 1 species
CACCACCAUAUGCCAAUUGACGAAUUGGUGCAGUACAUUUUUGUAUUGGUGAAAGGCUAGGCCGUCCUGCAGCAUCUUGGGUUUGUUGGAAAUAUUGGACUUCGUUAGAUAGACGGUGCACAAUACGCAUAAACAAUGGCUUGUUCAUUCGAAAACGUCGCUGGAAUAAAUUGUGCGGUAUGUUGGAGUGUCACUAAAAUAAUCAUUCUCAAGAUUAUUUUUGCCUUCUUCACGGUUUCUUUGGCUCGGUGGGUUCCUCCAAGAGGUUAUAAUUUUUGUGAAAAUUUUGAUAAUACACAUCAAAUGGAUCAUCCUCAUCUCUUUGGUAGUGAAUAUGAUUUGAAGAUGAUGCUAUGUUUUUGCAAGAAAAUAUGAGAAAGUGGUAGAGAAAAAUUAAAAGUGAGUACGUGAGAUAGAAAAUUUGAAAACCAAAGUGAGAAAUUGUGAGAAAGUGUUAUACAAAAGUUGACAAAUAGUGAGGAAGUGAAGAGUAGUUUAUAAAAUGUGAGGAAGUGAAGAGUAAACGAUUUUCCGGCGAAAAAAGUUCAGAAUCCAGGUCGUCUCUGUCGUAGUCGAGAGAGAGACAGAGAGAGAGAGAGAGAAUGCGAAGAGAAACCAAAGACAUCAACAUUUUUCUUCUCCACUAACUCACACCUCCAAUCAUCAACUGCCACCUGGCUCGAAGGACGACUCAUAUUGGUCCCGAUUUCAGAAACGUACUCACAUUAAACGUAUUAAUGAUUUAAUUUUAACCAAAAAAAUGAAUGGGACUUUGCUUAUUAACGCCAAUGCAGUUGCUCUUAAGGGCAUGUGCAGCGGUAGAACAAUUUUUUGUCCGAGGAAAUUUUUUUUUUUUUAGAAAAAAAAACAAGUAUGAGGUAACUAAUUGCGGGCCGCAACAUGUCAGUGGGGCCUGCGAAUAGUGAAAAAGAAGAAGAAGGACGUACGUAUAUAACGUACGUCCCGUGGAUUUUUUUCGUUUUUCUUUUCUAUUUUUUCUUUUUUUUGGGGGACUAGGUGGAGGAUCACCAAUGCCCAUUGUCUAAGAGCAUAAGCAUUGGUUUGUCCCAUUUCAUUGUCCCAUUAAUUUUUUAAGUAUAUUUUACAUGUAGGACAAUUGAUUUAUUUUGAAGGUUGAGCAUUGUUGUAUUUUGAUUUUUUGUCCCACAAUUAUAAAUAUCAUAUUUUUUAAUUAAAUAAUUAUUUAUUGAAUUAUAAAAGGAAAAAAAUAUUUAUUAAUAUUAAACAUUAUAAAAUUUUAAAAUUACAAAAAAAGAGUAUGAUGGAAAAAAAAUACUACAUCACAUUAUAAAUAUAAAACAUAAACCAUAGAAAGAUAUAAAGUACAAUAUGUUGAAUUCAUAGAAAUGUAAAACUUAAUUUUCAUAAUCUUAAAGAUGUCCGAAAUUAGUCCAAAUAUGUUCUAUCAAAUCAUGUUUUAAUUGUUCAUGUGCUUGUUUAUCCCGAACUCUUGUUCGACGAGUAAUCGUUGUGCCUAUAUUUGAACCCACACCGGCGGUACCAACAGUAUAUGUUUGAUCGACAUCUUCUCCGUGCUGAAAUUCAGAAAUGUUACGGACAUUGUAUGUAUGUCGUUCAUCUUCGACAAUCAUAUUAUAGAGUAUUAUGCAUGCUUUCAUAACAUUUGUCAUUUUGUUUUUAUCCCAUAAAGGAGAAGGAUUUUUAACAAUGGCAAACCUAGCUUGCAAAACUCCAAAGGCACGCUCAACAUCUUUCUGCACAGCUUCUUGUUUUUUAGAGAAGAGUGAAUUUUUCAUACCUUGCGAAAGUCGGAUAGAUUGAAUAAAAGUGGCCCAUUUCGGAUAAAUACCAUCAGUUAGAUAGUACGCCAAAUUGUACUCCUUUCCGUUGACAAAGAAAUUGACCUUCGGUGCUUGACCGUUUAUAAUGUCAUCAAAAACAUUAGAACGAUCAAGAAUAUUAAGGUCGUUCAUAGUACCUGGAGCUCCAAAAAAUGCAUGCCAAAUCCAUAGGUCAUAAGAAGCUACCGCUUCCAACACAAUAGUAGGUUUUCCGAUUUCUCGUGAAUACAUACCCUUCCAAGCUGUGGGACAAUUCUUCCAACCCAAUGCAUACAGUCAAUGCUCCCAAUCAUCCCUGGAAAUCCACGUUGUUCAAUUUGAUGGAGUAGUCUUUGUAGGUCUUCCUGGGUGGGACGUCUUAAGUAUUCAUCGCCAAACAAUUGAAGUAUUGCAGCGGUAAACUCGUGCAAGCAUUUUCAAGCUGUGGAGGCACCAAUUCAUACAUACCCGUCGACCGUGUCACAAGCACUACCAUAUGCCAAUUGACGAAUAGCUGCAGUGCAUUUUUGUAUUGGUGAAAGACUAGCGCGUCCGGCCGCAUCUUGGGUUUGUUGAAAAUAUUGGAUUUCCGUAGAAAGACGGUGCACAAUACGCAUGAACAAUGGCUUGUUCAUUCGAAAACGUCGACGGAUUGUGCGGGUAUGUUGGAGUGUCACUAAAAUAAUCAUUCCAAAGCUUAUUGUGCCCAUCUUCACGGUUUCUCUCUAUGAAAACUCGUUUUUUUGGCUCGAUCGGUUCUUGCAAGAGAUUUAAAUUUUCUUGAAAAUUUUGAUAAUACGCAUCAAAUGGAUCAUCUUCAUCUUUUUGGUAGUAAAAAUGAUUUGAAGAUGAUGCCAUGUUUGUAUGAAGAAGAAGAGUAGAAGGGAAUAAAAAGAAAAAAAAAACCUUUGACGAAG